rnacentral:misc_RNA from 1 species
GGGAAGGAGGAGAAACAGUAAGGAGAGAGAGAGAAAAUAGAGGAGGGUAAUUUAGUCCUUUAAAGCACUCUCUCUCCUUGGACCAGUGAGACUAACGAUUGAAUUGGACGGAAGUACUUUGAAUUUUGAUAGAGUGAAAAGUAGAGGGUUAAAUAAUUUAGUUUUUAAAAUAAAGGGAUCCAAUCAUUAUCAAUGAUAAAUUCAGGAACUAAAUGGUCUGUAACAAUUGAAAUGAUGUAGAAAGAAAAAAACAAAGAGAAAAAUGACAUUCUUCUUGUUCUGCCAUCCAUUAGUUGUUGGCUUUCUUCUUCAUGGAGAUUUAUCUAAGUUAUCUUUAU